rnacentral:rRNA from 1 species
AUUGAACGCUGGCGGCAUGCCUUACACAUGCAAGUCGAACGGCAGCACGGGAGCAAUCCUGGUGGCGAGUGGCGAACGGGUGAGUAACGCAUCGGAACGUGCCCAGUCGUGGGGGAUAGCCCGGCGAAAGCCGGAUUAAUACCGCAUACGACCUAUGGGUGAAAGCGGGGGACCGAAAGGCCUCGCGCGAUUAGAGCGGCCGAUGUCAGAUUAGGUAGUUGGUGGGGUAAAGGCCCACCAAGCCGACGAUCUGUAGCUGGUCUGAGAGGACGACCAGCCACACUGGGACUGAGACACGGCCCAGACUCCUACGGGAGGCAGCAGUGGGGAAUUUUGGACAAUGGGUGCAAGCCUGAUCCAGCCAUGCCGCGUGCGGGAAGAAGGCCUUCGGGUUGUAAACCGCUUUUGUCGGGAAAGAAAUGCUCCGGGAUAAUACCCUGGGGAGAUGACGGUACCCGAAGAAUAAGCACCGGCUAACUACGUGCCAGCCGCCGCCGUAACAC